CGGGGUGAGUAACACGUGGAUAACAUACCUAUAAGACUGGGAUAACUUCGGGAAACCGGAGCUAAUACCGGAUAAUAUUUUGAACCGCAUGGUUCAAAAGUGAAAGACGGUCUUGCUGUCACUUAUAGAUGGAUCCGCGCUGCAUUAGCUAGUUGGUAAGGUAACGGCUUACCAAGGCAACGAUGCAUAGCCGACCUGAGAGGGUGAUCGGCCACACUGGAACUGAGACACGGUCCAGACUCCUACGGGAGGCAGCAGGU
rnacentral:rRNA from 1 species